rnacentral:rRNA from 1 species
GACGUAGGGUGCGAGCGUUGUCCGGAUUUAUUGGGCGUAAAGAGCUCGUAGGCGGCUCGUCGCGUCGUCCGUGAAAACCCGGGGCUCAACUCCGGGCUUGCAUUCGAUACGGGCAGGCUAGAGUUCGGUAGGGGAGUCUGGAAUUCCUGGUGUAGCGGUGAAAUGCGCAGAUAUCAGGAGGAACACCGGUGGCGAAGGCGGGACUCUGGGCCGAUACUGACGCUGAGGAGCGAAAGCGUGGGGAGCGAACAGG